CAGAGUGAAGUUUUUAAAGGUCAACGUGUAUAGUUAUAGAGAAGUGUGUAUUCGAUACAUGCAUGUAUUUAUAUGAAUAGAUAUAUGUGCGAGGAUUGGUUAGAACUGUAUGAAAGAUCUGUUGGCUUUUUUAUAUUCAUGUUAGUAAAUCUAUGAAUGUUUCUGCAUGAUUAUGUGUAAAAAAAAAAUCUAUACAUAUUUUUUGUUUGAUAAUUAUGUGAGGAACGAAGUUAAGUGAAGUGUAUGGCUGUGAACACUAAGGUAAACAAGAAGUGAAUUGUAUGGCUGUGAACAUUAAGGUAAACAAGAAGUGAAGUGUAUGGCUGUGAACAUUAAGGUAAACAAGAAGUGAAUUGUAUGGCUGUGAACACUAAGGUAAACAAGAAGUGAACUGUAUGGCUAUGAACAUUAAGGUAAACAAGAAGUGAAUUGUAUGGCUGUGAACACUAAGGUAAACAAGAAUGGAAGUGUAUGGCUGUGAACACUAAGGUAAACAAGAAUGGAAGUGUAUGUAAACAAGAAGUGAAGUUUAUGGCUGUGAACAGUAAGGUAAACAAGAAGUGAAGUGUAUGGCUGUGAACAGUAAGGUAAACAAGAAGUGAAGUGUAUGGCUGUGAACACUAAGGUAAACAAGAAUGGAAGUGUAGGUAAACAAGAAGUGAAGUGUAUGGCUGUGAACAGUAAGGUAAACAAGAAUGGAAGUGUAGGUAAACAAGAAGUGAAGUGUAUGGCUGUGAACACUAAGGUAAACAAGAAUGGAAGUGUAUGGCUGUGAACACUAAGGUAAACAAGAAUGGAAGUGUAGGUAAACAAGAAGUGAAGUGUAUGGCUGUGAACACUAAGGUAAACAAGAAGUGAAGUGUAUGGCUGUGAACACUAAGGUAAACAAGAAUGGAAGUGUAGGUAAACAAGAAGUGAAGUGUAUGGCUGUGAACACUAAGGUAAACAAGAAGUGAAGUUUAUGGCUGUAAACAGUAAGGUAAACAAGAAGUGAAGUUUAUGGCUGUGAACACUAAGGUAAACAAGAAUGGAAGUGUAGGUAAACAAGAAGUGAAGUUUAUGGCUGUGAACACUAAGGUAAACAAGAAUGGAAGUGUAGGUAAACAAGAAGUGAAGUGUAUGGCUGUGAACACUAAGGUAAACAAGAAUGGAAGUGUAGGUAAACAAGAAGUAAAGUUUAUGUGAAUUUCAAGGUAAACAAGAAGUGAAGUUUAUGUGAAUUUCAAGGUAA